AGCUUUGCGCAGUGGCAGUAUCGUAGCCAAUGAGGCGCGAUUAUUGCUAAUUGAAAACUUUUCCCAAUACCCCAUCCUGACAACUUGCAACAUAGUUUGGCACUGGCAAUUUUUGACAGUCUCUGCAGAGA
ensembl:snRNA U4 U4 spliceosomal RNA